ACCUAUGAGGUCACACACAUGAGAGUUCAUAAUCUGAUCAGAUGGUUGAUCAACGAUUAAGAAUCAUUCUAGGGUUAAAUGAUCAAUACGAUUGACAUUUAACCCAGUGCAAGUGUUGCAGGAGGAUAGAUUAGCAAUUCGAUUGCUAAUUGGCUUAAUUUGAUUAAGCCAAUGGGCUGAGAUUAAGUCUAAUUAAAUAUGAUUUAAUUAGAUUUGGUUUGGGCUUGAUUGGAUCAAGUCCAAUUAGUUUAUUGGAUAAGCCAAGUGCAAGAAAAAACUAGUCCUAGUUCAACUAGGACUUGGGUCAAUCUAAUUUUUAAUUUGAUUAAAAAAUUAAAUCAGAUUUAAAUCUAAUUUAAUCUGAUUAAAUUAGAUUCUUAAUUGGGUUAAGACCUAUUUUAAUUGGGUUGAUCUAAUUUUGGUUUGAUUUGGU
rnacentral:lncRNA from 1 species